CGCUGGAUAACCGCGCCCGAAUUUUAUCUACAACGAGACAGGGUUGCGAUGGAUCUUCUUCGCGAACGAUGAUCUAUGCAUCUUCGCAAUCCAACAUUCGCCUAAAUUCAUUUUUAUUUUUUUGCAUCACGAAGAGCAUCACAAAAACGCGAACGGAUGCAACGCCGAAGAAGCAUAAUGAACACACCGAUAAGUUGCUCGCGAAGCCUUUCCACUCGCAGGAUUAAUUUAUCCACGUGUUGUUUAUUCUCGCGAUUCAUUGCAAGGUUGCUUCUUCUCGCAAAGUCUAGCAAACACUGCGGGUCGCAUCGUGUACUUUGUACACGCAGCCCAACAAAAGCACGCUUGAAGGACACAGCAUGAGUGUGGCUGGGUGCUGCUGGUUAUGGCUUACACUGAACGAAAACUCCGGUCGCACAUUGAAUGAUUUGUAAUUCACAUGAUUAUAAAACUUCACAUUCCUCAUUUUGAAUGAUUAUGAAAGAAUAUGCUGUAUCCACUGUCUGUUGAACAAAAAUCAUCCAAUUCAGAGAUGAAUUUUAGAUCAUAAUAGAAUGGUAUUAUGCAGCUAAUCGAACAAUGAUAACACAUAUGAAUAGAAUGCAAUUUAUGACGGAUUUUAAUUUCUCCCAUGUCCCAAACCGAAAAUCAUUCAAUAACUGUCUGAAGUAUCAGACGAAAAGGGGAUGGUCAAAUGUCAAAUCAAUCUUCUAAAUCUUAACGUAAACAUGGUGACGGCAGCGUGGUUUUUCAAGAGUUUCUGGGUGAAUUUUACAGGUCGCUAAUAUGCAAGUAUUAUGAUUCCAUGGAGCUCAGCGAAAUGGUGUUCGGCAGGUUGGCAUUUGUUCCUGAAGACUGGUGAAUAACAUUUAAUAACCUCAUUAAGGAAAUAAAUAAUAAUGUGCAUUCAGCAACAGU